rnacentral:tRNA from 1 species
GGGGCGGUAGUUCAAUCGGUUAGAGCACUGGCCUGUCACGCCAGAAGUUGCGGGUUCGAGUCCCGUCCGCCCCGCCA